GUGCUCGCUUCGGCAGCACAUAUACUAAAAUUGGAAUGAUACAGAGAAGAUUAGCAUGGCCCCUGCACAAGGAUGACACACAAAUUUGUGAAGCAUUCCAUAUUUUU
ensembl:snRNA U6 U6 spliceosomal RNA